AAUAGAUACCCCGGUAGUCCUAGCUAUAAACCGAUGCAUACUAGGUGUAGGAGGGCUCAACCCUUUCUGUACCGGAGCUAACGCAUUAAGUAUGCCGCCUGGGGAGUACGCUCGCAAGGGUGAAACUCAAAAGAAUUGACGGGGGCCCGCACAAGCAGUGGAGCAUGUGGUUUAAUUCGAUGCAACGCGAAGAACCUUACCUGGGCUCGAAAUGCAGAACGCGACACUAGAGAUAGUGUUUUCCGUAAGGAGUUUUGUAUAGGUGCUGCAUGGCUGUCGUCAGCUCGUGCCGUGAGGUGUUUGGUUAAGUCCAGCAACGAGCGCAACCCUUAUCGUUAGUUACCAGCGCGUAAUGGCGGGAACUCUAGCGAGACUGCCUAGGUUAACUAGGAGGAAGGUGAGGAUGACGUCAAGUCCGCAUGGCCUUUAUGUCCAGGGCUACACACGUGCUACAAUGGUCGAUACAGAAGGCAGCGAAACCGUGAGGUGAAGCAAAUCCUGAAAAGUCGAUCUCAGUUCAGAUU
rnacentral:rRNA from 1 species